rnacentral:tRNA from 1 species
AGGUAGGGUGGCCGAGUAGGUGGCAGGCUGUAGUCCUGUUUACGGGGCAGGCCCCCCCCCCCACCA